ensembl:lncRNA
UUUUUUUUUUUUCUUUUUUCUUAGAGAUCAACGCAGCUUACUUUAAUAAAAGUCAACUAUGAGCAUAUGCAGAACAACAGACUAGGGUAAGCAAGGCACUCCUUUGUGUUUAUUUUAAAUGUUAGCUGGGGCCCACUUGUUCUCACUUAUCUCAUUGGGUUGCGGUUUGGCUAAGGAUCCCACCUACUCAGAGAGCAGUUUGUCUCUAUGUAUAGAAGACUACACCACACUGAAAGUGUUUCUUUUGAUGUGAGAUAUGGCAACAAUAACACUUCAGGUUUAAAAUCUAACGAGAAAGCAAUAUAAAUCUUGGUCAUUACUAAAAUUCCGGGUGACAACCAUCCAUAAAAUUAAGCUGCAAAGGUUUAAAGGGGUUGUCAUAAUGGCAGCCAUCGGCCUAAUGAGUGUCCCAAAUUCAAACCUGAUUCAAGUCACUGCAGGACAAAAAGAGAGGAAUUAUUAACUACAAUAACUCACUCGCUAGGGUGGCUUGUGUGUAGCCCUGCACCACCGUCAGAUACACUUCCGCUACUCAGACACAUACCAUGGCUAUGUUUGGAGACAUACUUCUGAAUAACCUAAGAAAUACAAGCUUCUAUGUAUUCCAGUAUAACAAAGGAAGGCCUCAGAUUUCACUGUUAAAGAACCACUGAAAAUGAUCACACACACAAUCCGUGAUAUUUCUGACUUAGAUUAAGUGCAUAUUCAUUAUAACACAUCUCUCAUUUCUCACUUUCUUCAUCACAUCCUUAUUCCUCAAAUAAGAAAGCGCGAGCCUGAAGAGAAGUAGUGAUCUAACUCCCCAUAACUAAUUUUUAUCCAUCACCAAGUCUUGCAGAACAUUGGGGGAUGAUGUGCAGACUGAUAAGCAUGCCAGAAUUAUGAAAAUUAAGUAAUCCUAUAGCAGUUGUCUAUCAUAAAGCAGCAUGCUGUCCAAAUUACUGAUUUUCUGGUGGUAGUGGGAAAACAUUCACCAAAUUCAAGGUUAAUUUCAGUUGCAAUUACAAAGGACAGAAGUUCCAAGACAACGGUGCAGUUAAUUUAAGAUAUAAUGCUACCUUCACGCAAAGUAUCUCUUUCUAUGCACUAUGGGAUAUGCUUUUUCAGGACCCAGAGGGAAAGGUUACUUUGUUCCAUGAAGUAGGAAAUUAUAUCAAUAACGAAGACAUGAUGUACUGCUGAACCUCAGGAAGUUUGGUGGUAGUUUUGCUUGGCUUGGGAUUUUCUUUUCAUGUCAAUUCAUUUUCCAUAACUCAUCCUGAAAUCGCAUAUCAUGUAUUUCAGGUAACAUCCUCCUAUUCGCUUCCAUUGUCCCUUUUGAUUAUCCCCACAAAGAUAUGAACUCAUCUUUGAAGUCCUAACUUACCCUCUUGUCAAUGCAGUUUGACCAAAAUCUGGUGUUAAUUAGGAGACCUUUGUUAUGUUUUGGGCUCUGCAUUCUUGAACAAUCUUUCCAUCUUAGUUCUAACGUAAAGCAUCUAGGCCAGUUCUUGCCUGUGAUCUAUCCUUCUCCUUUUGGUGGUUUCUAAAGAGCAGCUGGAGCAGCCCGCAGCUCCCACUGAAAGCCCAGUUACAUGAGAGAUCAUUUUCUCAGAGCCCAACUCAAAUUCUGCAUUUCAGUCUUUUAUCCAAUCUUCAAAGCCACAACUGCUGACACACACACAUACACACACACACACUAAAGUGGAAUAUAUUUCUGCAGAAUCAGAUCAUAUUUAGAAUAGCCACCUUAAAGCUUCUCUCUCUUUAAUAUCUGUGUCCCAGAAAUCGUUAGGGCCCCUGACCACAGUUAACUCGUUACCACAUUUUGUGUGUUGGUUAAUAUAUUUCACUCCACAAAAUAUAGUCAACUUAUUUUUAAGUAGUAUUUCCCAAGGAAAAAUAUGCUACGAGUCUAUGCUGUCAUACCGGUUGCAUUAAUAAACAGGAUUAAGAACUUCAAAAAUAUUAAGAGAGUAUUAGGAUGUUAAGGGAUGGUCAAAAAAUAAUCACUAAUUAAAUAAUUCAAAUGUAAUGUAUUUAAUUCAUUAGAUAUAAUCUUACAGUAUCUUCCUUAUGCAAUUGUCAUUAAAAAAAUAAGCUCCCUAAUAAACUCACACUGCUUUAAAAAUUGCACAAUUCUCAGAGAAGGCGAAACUAAAACAGUUCACAAGGAUGAUGAUUCUUUUCAUCGUCUCAUAUACUUUAUCCUCACUGCAGGAUUACCCACAAUAAUCUCUUCACAGGGGACUUCUAGCUCUGCUCUCUAUCCAGAACACUUCAUAUUCUGCAGGUACAUCACUCCCCAGUCAGGAUCACUGAUAGAAUCAGAGAUAAACGCAUUUCAAUUAUUAUCAAAACUGCAUACAUAACUGUCCAUGUUUCCAAAAUACCCUCUGUGAACAAAUGAGGAAAGAGGAACAUUACUCAGCAGCUCCUCAAAUGGUGUUCAUCCACAUUCAUAGGCACACCUUUCAGCAGCAAAGCUGCAGCUGGCUACAGAUCCUCUACACCUGCCAAGGCAAUGGGUGAGAGCUGCCCCCACGUAUGUAAGCACAAGGUUUAGCCAAGACUUGUAGUGUACUCUACUACUGAAAUUCAGUGGAUGCAAGCGAACUCUCAUCUCCUCCUUCAAAUUUAAAAAGACAAUAUCUGACUCUUCUUCCCUCUCAAACGCAUCACUUGCUAAAAUUUCAGCUUCAUAUAUCAGCUUAAAUCCAGCCAUCCAGGAACUAAAACCUGCAAGAAUUCUGUCUUGCAGGCAGAUAUUUCUAAAACCAAUUUAAAAUAUUUAAGUUACUAUUCUUCCUUUUCAUUUAGGACUAAGUAGGCCUCUGUAAUGAAUGUGCUCCUGUUAUGAAAAGGUAUUAGAAGCACCUUUUUUCCCCUCUGUGCUUUUGCAGAAGAGAAGACAGGGUGGUUAAUGCUGCCAGAACAGAAGAAGAGCUCCUUGAGCAGAAGUGCAGCCCUUUCAGCUCCCAGCCAGCCUUCUCCAUGGCAAGGCAAAUGCAGCCACCGGGGGCAAACAUUCGCCUUCCCUGGUGCAAAGAUAAUGCCACAAGCCCUCAGACUAAGCUCUGUAUUUCUGAAUGCUGCAUUUUCUGUGUCGUUGUUAUUAUCAUCUUGCGUGUGAAGUUCCCCAGCUUCACAGCCCUAGAGGUAACUAGCUGAGGCAAAGGCACAGCCUGCUGCCAGAGCAGUGGGUAGUAGGUGGUGGGAAAAAGCCUUUGUGCACUAAUGCAAACCUGAUACACAAGUUUCUCAUCUCAGUUUAAUGGCAAAGAUUGGGUCGUUUCAACAGUGCUUUAAGAUAAUCAGCUUAUUUAAAAGCAUGUGCUAUAAACCCAUAAACAGUGUUCACAGUGAGCAACCUAUCAUCAAGAGGUGCUACGGUUUACCUCCAUGUUUCUGACUUGGAUGUUUUUUGAUUAAUGGAAAUGAGCUACAGCUGAUGCUAUGACACUGAGACAGUCCUGCAAGUAAAAAGCUGACCCAGUCAAACAUGACAAUGCCUUGCAUAAAGAGAAGUUAAAAUAUAAAGGCUGAAAUCUAAAGGAGGAGAAAUGCAGGCUGCUUAAGGAAGAGCACUGUACGUGCCUUUUUGGCCUUUUACUGAAAAAGCACAGUUUUUUUAGUAGAUUGAACUCCAGCACUGUGUCCCUUACGUAGCUUGGUCAAACGGCAGGCUAAAGACUAAUGCGGUAAAGCAGGCUAUUUAUGAAAUAAUUACCGAAGUACAUCUCCCCUCCUAAAUCAGGAGCACUGACAUCCAUCAGAGUAAUACCCUCAGCGAAGUCUCUGAACCCGCUGCCCACUGAACCCCAGCACUGCAAAUGUUUUGGUUUUUUUUCCUUUGAAACAGUUAAAUGGCAGCAAAAGGACUUAAACAUUUCAGUUCAGUGCAUCUCUAUGUUUCAAACAAAAACUCAGUUUCUUUUUGGCAAAAAUCACUGACAGAU